AUGAUUAUAACACAUUAUACAUAUAUUUAAAAUGCGCUAUAGAGAUAGGCGUCAAAUAAAGUGUUACUGAAAAUUUCAUACCCAUGCUAAAAUGGUUAUAGCUAUGUAACCGUAUAGCUAUGUGUAACAGUUAGGGGAAAAUUUGUGAGAUUUGUUGAGAUGUGUUAAUAUGAGUAUAUGAGACGUCGAAGUCCCCCAAUUGGGAACGUUCAGGCUACAUCGAUUUAAGAGCUGCUGAAUAAGCAGGAAGAGGUUAUGAGAUCAAUAAAACAGCAUUUUUUUUUAACCACUGAGGAGACAAAUGCACUCCUAUAUAUGAUGUAUUGAUUCCAAGAAAUAUACAAGAGUGUAAAAAAGUGUGACAACAAGCCCCGCUCUCCCCUAUUCUAAAAGUUUGAGACAUGAUUUCUGAUUUUCACGUAAUGUAAGACAUAAACAUAAAAUCAAAACAAUAGAAUGGCUUGAAAUGUUUCAUUUAACGUGCAUAAAUGAAGACAAAUGAACUUUUUCAACAUAUUCUUACAUAUCCAAAUGUAGAUAUUUGGAGAGCUUUAUGGGUGUCAUCAAGUAAUAAAAUUGUGCGUUCAGUGAUAGCACAUCCGAAAGAUUAGCUAAUGAUUCUUUAUCAGGUGGUGAAUGACCAUUUAUCUGUUUAUAACUGAGACCAGUAUGCCAAUGGUGUUCGCCGCCCCGUGUCCGCCUGGUGCGCUCUGCUGGCUCUGCGUCAGACAGCUGAGAGGCGCAGCUCUGCACAGUACACUAACGAACUGCAACUCUGCGGGUGCAAGACGCAUCACAGUCCAGACAAGUCCCAGAACAUCUGUAAUGGGUAUUUGGAUCACCUGGAAAUUUUAAGGUAAGACUCUGUAAACAUGAAUGGUUUGUUGUUUCAUCCGAGGUUGCGCAUUCUCCAACGCUCGUUGAUGCAAAGUCUUUAAAAAGUGAGAAUACGAGUACUAUAUUUGCGGAAAGAAGCCUUUUUGUUAGACCAUGUUGUUUUCUAAUAAACCAAUCAUUAUUGCACUUUUUAUUGAUUUGAUUGUAGGCGGUUUUGUGACAACAUUUGCCAUGUGCCAGUACGCGUAGAUUAAGGGAUCUAAUCUGGAUUACAGCGAGCAUAACCGAGAGAUAACCUCCACUCUGUUCGCGAGUUCAUAUCAUAUAAGAAACACAGAAAAGACAAGAGAUAUCUGAGUUCAGGGUAAAACGUUGUAAAGCCUCUUUGCUUGUUUCUAUUGACACUUGUAAUUACAGCCUGUGAAUGAGAAAAUGCGGCUGAAAGGGUGUUUCUGCCAACAGUCCUCUGCACCCUGAUACUUAGAUGUAGGGUGACCAAUGUCCUGCUUUUCAUGGCUUUUCAUUUGGCCACUAGGAUUAAGAAGAAAAGUAAAGCAAUAGCAGUUUUGUGAAAGUUGGAUCGCUAAUAGUAGUAUUUUUAGUUUUACUUGUUUGUUUUUUUUAAUUCAGAAGAGACAUUAUUUCUGUGAUUGCUUCACUCGUUAUUUUUGAAACUUGUCAUAAUAAAACAUGCUGAAUAACCUAUGAGAAGCCUAUCUGAAAUUGUAUCUUUGCUUUUAGAUAGUAUUAUAUAUAGUAUUUAGUAAUAUAACUGUUUUCUAUCCCUGUAAGGCAUCUUUGAGUAAACCUCAUGUUUAAUUUAAGUAUCUCAUUGUUGGAUCGAGUGUCCUGGUGUUCAGUUAUCAAAAUAUAAUAAGAUGUUAAUCAUUAUAGGGUGUGGAUGUAUGUUAUAGGGCGGUCAUUAUUUCCGUUUAGUAUGUAGUCUUUUUAUGUACAUGUUAAAACUCAGGUAGCACGAUCAAAUAAAGAGAGAGAAACAAUAUUUUACGUUUAAAGAACUUGAAGUUCUUGAAAACAUGCAUUUAAUAUAAGUAUGGCCCUGUGCUUGAGCACAUGUAAGCUGCUCUGAAUGUUUUUAGUAGAAAUCUGUGUAGAGGUGGCAUGUGGGACUGUCUGAAAAAUCAGAAGUCAAUCAAUCAAUCAAUCACUCUUUAUUUAUAGAGCACUUUUCAUACAUAACAUGUAGCACAAAGUGCUUUACACAGAAAAAGGAAUAAAAUAAACAAAGAAUACACAAAUUUACCCCAACCCAAGAUUAAAAGAAUACCCAAAUCUACCCCAGCCCAACCCC
rnacentral:lncRNA from 1 species